AGCAGCCGCGGUAAUUCCAGCUCCAAUAGCGUAUAUUAAAGUUGUUGCAGUUAAAAAGCUCGUAGUUGAAUUUCGGGGUUCUACCGUUGGUCGGGCUUUGUCUGUACUGGCGUGUAGAAUUUCUACCUUCUGGGGAACCAUCAUGUUAUUAAUUUAACGUGGUGGGAAACCAGGACCUUUACCUUGAAAAAAUUAGAGUGUUCAAAGCAGGCUUUAUGUCUGAAUACAUUAGCAUGGAAUAAUAAAAUAGGACGGUGGUCCUGUUUUGUUGGUUUCUGAAUCACCGUAAUGAUUAAUAGGGAUAGUUGGGGGCAUUAGUAUUCAAUUGUCAGAGGUGAAAUUCUUGGAUUUAUUGAAGACUAACUUCUGCGAAAGCAUUUGCCAAGGAUGUUUUCAUUAAUCAAGAACGAAAGUUAGGGGAUCGAAGACGAUCAGAUACCGUCGUAGUCUUAACCAUAAACUAUGCCGACUAGGGAUCAGACGAUGUUAAUUUUUAAUGACUCAUUC
rnacentral:rRNA from 1 species